ACUGGUAUUUAAUGCUGAUUAAACCUUGGAAUCACCUGGAGAGCUUGGCCUCUAAUGUUGCCUGGGCUCCACCCUUGGAGAUCCUGAUUUAAUUGGUCUGGGGUGGGGUGCAGGAGUCAGCAUUUUUUUAACAGCUUUCCAGAUGAUUCUUUUCUGUAGCUAGGUUGAGAAGUGCAGGAAUCAAAAACAGUAGAGAUUUCAGGAUAGAAAGAACAGCACAAGGAUUCAUCACUAUUCAAGACCUUACCUUGCUACACAAAACAUCAACAUCUCUGUCCUAUCUGCGUGCUUAGUUCAAUUAGUUUCCUGUGUGACUACGUCUGCUACGGAAAGAAGAUGGAGGUUUCAUCUUGACUCUGGAAGAUUAGACCUGAGCUAACAUCCAUGCCUGUCUUCCUCUUCUUUAUAUGUAGCAGUCUGCCACAGCAUGGCUUGAUGAGCAGUGUGUAGGUCCAUGCCUGGGAUCCAAACCAGCAAACCCUGGGCCGCCAAAGCAGAGAGCACAAACGUAACUGCUACCCACCAGGCCAGCCCCUAUAACAGU
rnacentral:lncRNA from 1 species